UAUAAGUAAGAAAGAAGCAGCCAUGCUAGUCUUUGAUUACUUCUUGAAGAAGAUAUGAAGCUAAUCAAUCAUGCAAAUUAGCAUGGGCAAAGUAGCCCAAGCUAAGCAUUCAUUUACUUACUAAAUCAAUAGUAUUUACUUAGCAACGACUCUAAGUCAAGCACUAUUCUACACACUGAGAAUAUAGCAGUAAACAAAAGCAAAAGUUUCUGUCUGCUUAGAGUUUACAUUCCAGUGGGGUGAAGUAAACAAGUGGAUAAAUUGAUUUUUUAUUUUUAAAGUCAGAUGGUGAAAAGGUUAUAAAGAAUGACCAGCAAGGUAGGGAGGCAGUGAUGGAGGAGCCCUUCGAACACAGAGAGUAGGAAAAGCUUUUCUGCAGCAACAGCAUUUGGGCAGAAACCUGAAUUAGGGAGCGAGCCAUGCAGACAUUAGGGUAAAUAAUACCAGAAAAGCACCAGGUACAACCCAAAUCAAUCAAGCUGUGUGCCAGUACCUUCAGUUAUAAACGCUUUCUUCUUUUUGCCCCCUAAUUUCAGGGCUAUGCAAAUUUCUUUCCUUAAAAGAAAUAGUUCCCAAGAGAGCCCCACUGUAAUGAGCCAGAAGAAAUGUCAAAAUCCCUACUGUGGCCAAAUCUUGUCAAAACGGACACACUACAACCAUCAUACUGUAUUGGUUCUUUUGUAAAGCAAAGGUUACAGGUGACAAGCACUAAGAGGCACACUGAGAAAAGGCAUUGGCUUUGGUUUGUGCUGCAGCAGUUUGCCAAGCAUGUGAACAUGGGCAAGCUACUUCUGAGUUCUAAAUCUCUCUUGUGGAAAUUGUGCAUUGUAGUAUCUACAUUACAGUACUGUACUGUGCACUGGAAAGAAAUAUUAAUAUAUAGUGUCUGGCAUAUACUAGGGUUCAAUGAAUGGUAAUAUUAGUAAUAUUUUAAUUUAAUGCUGUAUUUUAAAUUUAACAUUAACAUUUUCUUUAAAAAUUAGCUGUGACAGAUUAUAUUUUCCAAAAAUGGCUGCAGCAGUAUUUCUGGUCCAUUUCCCUAGGCCUAGGCAGGCUUGUUAACUGCUCCCAAAAAUAAAAUGUGAUGGAAGCAAUGCUGUAUGACUGAGGUCGGGUCCUCAAAAGGAGAUGCCAGCACUAGCUCUCAUUCUGAGAUGCUCAGGCUGAGGAGACCAACCACUGUACUGGUACCUCAACCAGGAGAAGGCAACGAGGAGCAGUUUAUGUCUGGCGGAACACACACUGCUUGUUAACAAUGCUGGAUGGGAUUGAUGGAGACUACACACACACAGACACACGCAAUACCAACUUCCUUAUGAAGGACCUUUGUUCCUUGGAUUCAUAAAUUAAGAUGUCACUUGCACCACAUAAAAUGCAUCUGAAUCAGCUUAGUGGUGCUUCCAUGGGGCUCAAAAUGAGCUUUGUUCUAAGGGUAAGGCAAGGUAAUACAGAUUUAUUAAACCCCAAUUCUCCUGUAUUUGAAAAAUAAGUGGAAGAGACUGGGUGAAGAAACACUACCUUCUUUGGCUUCUCUUUCCUUUCUCAUGAAAAUCUCUUUCAUUUAAAGUCCCACUGAAAAAAGUACAUCUCUAACUCUACACAAACCUAUAAGCCUCCCAGACAGAAGAAAAAUAAGUAGAAGAAUCUUAUUCAACACACUUCCUCCAUGCUCAAAGCUGUUUUAUUGUAAAGGUAGAGAAAGAAUAUAUAUCAUUUCCAAAUUAAAAUUCAUUCAGCAAAUAUUUAUGGAGGGUCUUCUAGGUUCCAGGCAUUGUUCUAGAAACAGAGAACUUACUCACCUAUAAGGGCAGUGCAUGUGGGAGGUAACACUGUAGAAAGGAAUUACUAUCCAAUCCGAUCCCACCUCCAGCAUCUUUCCCAAUCUCCCUCUAUAUGACCUGAUGUGGUCUGUCCCAGCAUUUAUGCUUUCCGCUGCUUUGUUUCCUUUACUUUUUCAUCUCUUUCCCUCCCCAUAUGCUUACUAUGUAUAGCAAGACUGAGUUCAAGUGUUACCUUUCACUUAUGUCUUGUCUGCUACCCCGUGUCACUGCUUCCUUUGAAGUCCUGAAAAACUUAAGUUUCUCUAUACUCUAGGCUCAUCUCUGACUAUGCUCCCCAUUCCCCAUCACAUAUCCUACUCUGGCCACACUGGACCAUGCCCAGUUCUACAAAUGAGCCCUGUUCUUUCCUGAUUCAAGGUCUCCACACCUGAGUGUGGGGUGCCUUUCCCACCACCCCAAAAUGAUCUCCUCAGACUCUGCAUCUUUUUUCAGUCUCAGCUUAUUUUCAUUUACGUAUAUACUCUGAACUAUUAUUAUUUGUGGCACCUCUGCUAUGUGCCAGGCCCAUGGACUAGUCCUGGGAAUGCAGCUAUGAAUGAAACAGUUGAAGUCCCUGCUCUCUUGGAGCUUAUAUUCUGGUAAGGAGAGACAUUAAGUAAGUUAAAAAAAAAAAAA